GCAGCCGCCGCGGUAAUACGUAGGCAGCGAGCGUUGUUCGGAAUUAUUGGGCGUAAAGGGUGCGUAGGCGGCUUGACAAGUCUUGUGUGAAAUCCCCGGGCUUAACCUGGGAACUGCAUUUGUGACUGGCAAGCUAGAGUAUGGCAGAGGGGGGUGGAAUUCCGCGUGUAGCAGUGAAAUGCGUAGAUAUGCGGAGGAACACCGAUGGCGAAGGCAGCCCCCUGGGCCAAUACUGACGCUCAUGCACGAAAGCGUGGGGAGCAAACAGGAUUAGAGACCCCGGUAGUCCCUGUCUCUAUACC
rnacentral:rRNA from 1 species